AUUGAACGCUGGCGGCAGGCCUAACACAUGCAAGUCGAACGAGUGGCGAACGGGUGAGUAAUGUCUGGGAAACUGACUGCUGGAGGGUGAUAACUACUGGAAACGUUAGCUAAUACCGCAUAACAUCAGAUGUGCCACGAUGGGAUUAGCUAGUUGGUGGGGUAACGGCUCAACAAGGCGACGAUCCCUAGCUGGUCUGAGAGGAUGACCAGCCUGACUGGGACUGAGACACGGUCCAGACUCCUACGGGCGGCAGCAGUGGGGAUGAUUGCACAAGGGGCGCAAGCCUGAUGCAUCCAUGCCGCGUGUAUGAAGAAGGCCUUCGGGUUGUAAAGUACUGUCAGCGGGGAGGCGUUACCCGCAGAAGAAGAACCGUAUAACUCCGUGCCAGCAGCCGCGGUAAUAC
rnacentral:rRNA from 1 species